GACGAACGCUGGCGGCGUGCUUAACACAUGCAAGUCGAACGGUAAGGCCCUGCUUUUGUGGGGUGCUCGAGUUGCGAACGGGUGAGUAACACGUGAGUAACCUGCCCUUUACUGUGGGAUAACUUCAGGAAACUGUGGCUAAUACCGCAUAGGAGCUCCUGCUGCAUGGUGUGGGUUUGAAAGUUUCGGCUGUUUGGGAUGGACUUGCGGCUUAUCAGCUUGUUGGUGGGGUAGUGGCUUACCAAGGCUUUGACGGGUAGCCGGCCUGAGAGGGUGACCGGCCACAGUGGGACUGAGAUACGGCCAAGACGGCAACGGGAGGCAGCAGUGGGGAAUAGUGCAAAAAGGGCGGAAGCAUGAUGGAGCAAUGCCGCGUGCGGGAUGACGGCCGUAGGGUUGUAAACCGCUUUCGCCUGGGAAGAAGAGUGAGUGACGGUAAUGGGUAAAGAAGCAACGGCUAACUACGUG
rnacentral:rRNA from 1 species